rnacentral:rRNA from 1 species
UACGUAGGGCGCAAGCGUUUGUCCGGAAUUAUUGGGCGUAAAGAGCUCGUAGGCGGUUUGUCGCGUCUGCUGUGAAAACCUCAGGCUCAACCUGGGGCUUGCAGUGGGUACGGGCAGACUAGAGUGCGGUAGGGGGUGACUGGAAUUCCUGGUGUAGCGGUGGAAUGCGCAGAUAUCAGGAGGAACACCGAUGGCGAAGGCAGGUCACUGGGCCGCAACUGACGCUGAGGAGCGAAAGCAUGGGGGAGCGAACAGG